AUCCUUCCCGGCACAGGAGAAACCAUGGUCACAAAGGUGGUUAACCCAGGGCACAGCUUCCCCACUGCACACCUGAUGUGCUGAACUCUGAAGUUUCCCCAGAGUCGGGAAACUGGUGACUGCAGAAUUGUGGCAGUGGGGAACUGUGUUGACACUCUCCCCUG